CAAAGGUUCCAUUUGCUAAAAAUGCUAAAUUUUAUUAAAUUGUUGUUUAGUUAAUAGUUUAGAGAGAAAGUGACUUCUGGUAAUUAAUAUCUUUUAUUUCACCUUUUCGUAAUUUUCCCCGCCCCAACGAAACCUAUAAUGCUAAAACCCCACAAAAACCCUAAAGUUCCUCCUAACCCUAAUAUUUCACUAUUUUUCUCAGAAAAUGGCGUCUCGAUUUAGAUCUCUCUCAAAACCAACAUUCUCUACCCUCAAAUCCGCCAUUAACAAACCAACCCUUAAACCAAAACCCGCCUCUUCUCUCCUUCCUCCUUGCACUUCUCCGACAUUUUCAAGGUCUGUUUCUCAAUUGGGUUGUCUUCAAUCUCUGCUGCCUCUCCACUCAGCCGUGUCUUCAGCUCGGUUAACGUCGUGUCUAGGCAUCGAUUCAAGGAGUUCUAGGUCGUUGUCUCAGGGUAUGCUUUGCAGUGCAAAUCCAGGAGUUUGAUAAUCUCCAAAAUGUUUGUAAUUUUGUUUCCGGGUAGAUACAAAGAAAGACACAACCUGAGUUGGGGAGCUUUCACAUGGUUUGAUAAGAACUAGGUCUCAGUGUGCCUCGAUAACAUAGCAAAAGUGGAAGGAAUUAGAGCAUGAUGGAUCAUAGUCAUUGCUUUCCAUCUUGUGUUGUCCAUUUGAAGAUUUGUUCUAUUUCAUAAGUGUGUCCUUUUUGUUAUUAAUUGAAUUGAAAUUUCAAGUCUUGGUUGAUGGACAUAACUUACACUGCAAGAAUUGUGUUCACUUUACACAAUUUCGGAAAUUCUCUCUUUAGAUUUCAGUUAUGGAAAUUGAUUGAACUAGUUUACUUUAAA